rnacentral:rRNA from 1 species
UGCAAGUCGAGCGGUCGUAGCAAUACGGCAGCGGCAGACGGGAGAGUAACACGUGGGAACGUGCCCUUUGGUUCGGAACAACACAGGGAAACUUGUGCUAAUACCGGAUAAGCCCUUACGGGGAAAGAUUUAUCGCCAAAGGAUUGGCCCGCGUCUGAUUAGCUAGUUGGUGGGGUAACGGCCCACCAAGGCGACGAUCAGUAGCUGGUCUGAGAGGAUGAUCAGCCUCACUGGGACUGAGACACGGCCCAGACUCCUACGGGAGGCAGCAGUGGGGAAUAUUGGACAAUGGGCGCAAGCCUGAUCCAGCCAUGCCGCGUGGAUGAUGAAGGCCCUAGGGUUGUAAAGUCCCUUCGGCGGGGAAGAUAAUGACGGUACCCGCAGAAGAAGCCCCGGCUAACUUCGUGCCAGCAGCCGCGGUAAUACGAAGGGGGCUAGCGUUGCUCGGAAUCACUGGGCGUAAAGCGCACGUAGGCGGCUUUCUAAGUCAGGGGUGAAAUCCUGGAGCUCAACUCCAGAACUGCCUUUGAUA